rnacentral:rRNA from 1 species
UACGAAGGGGGCUAGCGUUGCUCGGAAUCGCUGGGCGUAAAGGGUGCGUAGGCGGGUCUUUAAGUCAGGGGUGAAAUCCUGGAGCUCAACUCCAGAACUGCCUUUGAUACUGAGGAUCUCGAGUUCGGGAGAGGUGAGUGGAACUGCGAGUGUAGAGGUGAAAUUCGUAGAUAUUCGCAAGAACACCAGUGGCGAAGGCGGCUCACUGGCCCGAUACUGACGCUGAGGCACGAAAGCGUGGGGAGCAAACAGG